GUUUUGCAUCAGCUUUCAUCGUGGCGUCCAAAGACGUCUCCGCGUCGUCAGGGAAUGGAGCCAGUCGAUUGGACAAAAGGCCGUGCCUCAGGGUGUGGCACAGGAGCAUUGUUGAGGGCAAGCCUGCCUUUGGAAUGACCGACGGAAUUCCUGCCACGGUGUUUGGACCUCUCCUUAUCCACUUGCAUACACACCGAUGCUAACAGACGCACCAGCUCGGUGUCUGACAAAACAAACCCAAGAUAAAAACAAUGAACGGUAAUCUGUAAUUCAAGCACAAACUCAAAAAUGUGUGUGUGUGGGUGGGGAACAGUAAUUUCCUGAAAAAAUAAAAUACAAAGACAUAGUAAUAACAUUUCAUAUUAAGUAUACUGCUGUAGAGUAAGUACGACUAUUGUAAAUUCACACUGAAAGACAGCCUGAAGCAGUCUGAAGAUGACCUAUUCUGUAUGAUUGCAUACACAACAAUAAAAUCAUGUUGUUGCUUUCAGUCAAAAAAAAAAA